CCAAUACUUCUCAUUUAAUAAAUAUAAGGAUAAAUACACUUUGGGGGGACUAUGCCAAAACCCAAUUAUACAAUUCAAAAGAUCAACAAGAUAUACCUCUUUAAAAAUCUUAUUAGUAAAAUACAAAAGAGAUAAAACUCAAUGAAGAAAAAAAAAAGUGCAUAAUAAAAUAACAAAAGUAAAAAAGAAAGCCAAUUUUAAAGUCACUAAAACAACAUUAAUAUCGAAAGAGAUAUCAACAGAAAAGUAUUGAUAUUUGAAAUUGGCUAUGCCAUCAAGACAUUUAAUUUAGGGACCACUGAACUGAAUUACCAACCAACAAAACUUUGAAAAUCAUUUUGAACCACAAAUAUAAAACCCACACAUAAAUGCUAUCGUUAUGGCAUUUUAGUCAAUACCAUAGUAAUAUUGGUGAUCUUAGUUCUAUCUUUGGGCACAUUAUCAGUUACAUAUUUUUGAGACAAUUCACUCUUAUGAAAAAUUUAAUCAAAUGAAAUAUUUAUAAGUAGAGUUACAUAGUAAUAUAAAAACAUGUUUUGUGCAAUUCAUUCUUAUGAAAAAUUUUAAUUAAAUGAAAUAUUUAUAAGUGGAGUUUUUUUUUAUUAAAUAAGUGGAGUUUUCUUAGAGGUGCUACAUCAUCACAAUAUUUGCUUGUGAGCAACUCAACUUUCCUUUUACUAGUAAAAGAUAUAUAUAUGUUAUAUUAAUUGUGGUAAACAUUUUUUUUGGUUACUAUUUAUGGUAAACAUAUACAAACACAAAAUAGUUUCGGGUUAUUUUUUAGCUAUAUAAUGAGCCCUAAAAUAAUUAAUGAUAUUGCACAAAUAGACACAGACUUGAAGUAAGACCAUAUACAAUGGUUACCAACAUUCAACACCACUUUUUCACUUCCCAACACUCCAUGUCAUUUUUUUUUUCUUCCACCUAAUCAUUCAACACACAUUAAACUUUUAUCCUCUCCAAUAGUUUUUUCAUUCAACACUCUACUCCACCACUUUCUCUACCCCACCACUUUUUAUUUCAUAUUCUUAUUUAAAUUUAUGUUUUUGUUUUUAUGAUUACAUAAAAUUACAAUUAUCGAUUAAAAUUAAAUUAAAAUAAUAAGCACUUAACAAUUGAAACACUCCAAAUGCACGUUCGAUGUCCUUCCGAUAUCCCUCCUAAUAUUUUGCAAAUAACUUAUCGGGUUCACUUUGAGGAAGUCUAAUCGAUUUGACGAAAGUUGGAUAAGAAGGGUAGAUAUAAUCAGCUAGAUAGUAUGUCAUAUUAUAGGAACGUUGAUUCACAAAGAAAUUAACGGUGGGAGCAUUUCCCUGUUCCACAUCAUCAAACACUGAUGACUGGUCUAGAAAGUUUAUAUCGUUCAACUGCUUCAAAAGAGGCAUCCAAAAAAGGCAUGUCAGAUCCAUAAAUCAUGAGAUACAACUGCUUCAAGAAUAACUGUGAUGGUUCCCUAAAAAAAAGACUAAUACUUCAAGAUUAACACUAAUAGGAAGAUAAUAAUAAUAAGAUUAUUAUAGUGAAAAAAUCCAUUUUUUUUCUAUGUCCAAAUCAAAUGAACCAAGUCUCUAUUUCAGUGACUACACACCUCCGGUUUUAUAUUUCCAGCCAUCCGCAACAAGUUGUGUUGACUAAACUGGAAUGGACAGUUGUUCAUAUUUCUCAAUUUUGUUUGUAAAGGCCGUGUGGUUGUUCUAAGGCUUUGCUGCUGAAUGGGUGCUACUCAUUUGUUUAAUAGGGAGGAUGUUCUUUGUUGCUGCUCCUCCAUUGUAUCAGGUGGAAUUGGUUGUGUUUAUUUGCACCCCUUAUGCAUUUUUCAAUUUUAAUAAAACUUUUGCUUUUUUAAAAAAUAAAUAAAUUUAGCAAUUGUUAUAAUCUCCACAAAAAUGAUUAUAUUAUUUUAUUUUUAAGAAAAAAUAAAAUCAUAGAGCAAAGACAUCACAUGGUUAAUAUAUUGACACCCCACAACCAUCACAAUCAAUUUAAAUACCUAAUACUUAAUAUUUUAUAAAUAUAAGAAUAAAUACACUUUGGGGGACUAUGCCAAAACCCAAUUAUACAAUUCAAAAGAUCAACAACAUUUAACUCUUUAAAAAUCUUAUUAGUAAAAUACCAAAGAGAUAAAACACAAUGAAGAAAAAAAAAGUGCAUAAUAAAAUAACAAAAGUAAAAAGAAAGCCAAUCUUAAAGUCCACUAAAACAACCAUUAAUAUCGAAAGAGAUAUCAACAGAAGAGUAUUGAUAUUUAAAAUUGGCUAUACCAUCAAGACAUUUUUUUUAUAAGCAUAGAAUGAAUCAUGAGUACAAGGGGUACCUAACCCUUACAAUUCUAAAAGAAGCCAUUAGAUGCUAAAAAUGCAAGAUAAUGGAUCUUUACACUAAAUCUGAAAAUACAAGAGAAGACUUAGAAAUUAUUCUACCAACAAACCAAAACCAGGAGAUAUAAAUAAUUUGAUCCACUAAUGAUUGCAAGUUAAUGACAUCUCCUCUAAACAUUAUAUUAUUACGGGCUCGCCACAAGCUCCAUGUAGUUGCCAACCAAAUUACAUGUCGAGCUUUUGCAUAAGACUUAUUCUUCACCAAAGCACCAAAGGAGACUUAUUACCAUCAAGACAUUUAAUUUAGAGACCACUGAAUUACCAACCAACAAAACUUUGAAAAUCAUUUUGAACCACAAAUAUAAAACCCACACACAAAUGCUAUCGUUAUGGCCUUUUAGUCAAUAUCAUAGUAAUAUUGGUGAUCUUAGUUCUAUCUUUGGGCACAUUAUCAGUUACAUAUUUUUGAAAGCGGUUAAAAGCCUCUUUAGUGACACUUUCACCAAAAUGACCAACUAGCAAAGGUU
rnacentral:lncRNA from 1 species